rnacentral:rRNA from 1 species
CGACUACAUGAAGCUGGAAUCGCUAGUAAUCGCGAAUCAGAAUGUCGCGGUGAAUACGUUCCCGGGUCUUGUACACACCGCCCGUCACACCAUGGGAGUCGGAAAUGCCCGAAGUCAGUGACCCAACCGUAAGGAGGGAGCUGCCGAAGGUGGAGCCGGUAACUGGGGUGAAGUCGUAACAAGGUACC